CACACACACAGCAGUUACGUCACACGUCGGGAAUGCAGUGAGGAGCUGCUGCUGCUGCUAAAGGCCUCUGGAUCCGUCACAAAAUGAGACUGAAGGGAAGAGGAGAGUCACUGUAAAAGAACCCUGCCAUGUCCGGUCCCACCUGGCUUCCACCGAGGACUCUGGAUAGCCCAGAGCGAGCUGUGCCCCAGAUGUCUCACUCUGCCGGGUCAGCAAUGUACCGAGCCCCCAACAAAAAAGGGACAUCCGACUUCCGGCCAAAAUAUGGCCCCUAUGACCAGAACG